rnacentral:rRNA from 1 species
UACGAAGGGGGCUAGCGUUGCUCGGAAUUACUGGGCGUAAAGGGAGCGUAGGCGGAUAGUUUAGUCAGAGGUGAAAGCCCAGGGCUCAACCUUGGAGUUGCCUUUGAUACUGGCUAUCUUGAGUACGGAAGAGGUAUGUGGAACUCCGAGUGUAGAGGUGAAAUUCGUAGAUAUUCGGAAGAACACCAGUGGCGAAGGCGACAUACUGGUCCGUUACUGACGCUGAGGCUCGAAAGCGUGGGGAGCAAA